UAGGGUACUCACUUUUAACUGCUUGAGCCGACCCCUGUCCAAAGUGGGGUAUUUAGUUGCACAACCAAAAUGCAUUCUAACAUGUCAUGAAAUCAACAGUGAUUCCUCAGUCACGAUCACAUACUCAGUCCGAAUUGAAACCUUUCUUACAGGUCCCCAAAUAUCUACCCUCGGUAGGUGUGUCUGGCUCGGGGUUCAGUGUUCCUCACGGUGCAUUCCACUGGGCUUUGUACUACAAGUUCUUGCAGGAAACCUGUCUCUCAUCUCUCUUUUAUUCAGAAAUAUGAAAGCGGUUGGACCUCUUUCGGUAAGUCUUGUAAAAUGUGGAAGCAAUUAGUCCAAGCAGCUAUGGCCUUUUGAAGAUCAAUAGAUGUUCGAACUUCAUUUUUCUCACUGCGAGAAGCCAUUCUCCUAGCCAAGGAGAGUCUCUGCGGUCUUCAUACAAGUCUCCUUUUCCUCUAUUUUUAGAAACCCGUGUGCAGGCUGCCACUACCACUUUCGCACAUCUCUCUCCACAGCCGUGAGGGAAUUCUGUCUUCUAAAGAGAAAAUUCGUAGUUUAGAAUUUUAUUUCUUCUACUCAUCUCAGAAUCUUGGCAUGGAUCCCAUGGGCGACACGUUCUAAAGUUACAAAGCCAUACCUGCGGCAGAGCGGGGGGAGCCCGGAAAGAAAACCACCAUAAGGGCCUGAUGCGGAAAUCCUCCUCUUCUCAGGGAGGGAAACCUGGAGAAAGGGUUUGCAGCUUAAGUUCCCUUCACCCGAAAGAACAGCUACAGAGGUGAAGGAAAAGCGAAAUGCUGGUAAAGUUACCGCUGCUUUGGACUCAAACAAGAUACAUAGAUGGGUAAUCCGCUGGAUAACCACUGUGCGAGUUGAACAUCCCGCUGGGCUGAAUGGAAACCGACUGACGCGGGCCCACGAAAGUUUUGGGUUGCCUCUCUGAGCCCCGUUAGUGCCGUUAGUGCCGCCGGGUGGAGUGUUGUCCGAUCUUGCUGACUGGAUAUUGUGCAGGAUGCCGGUGAACCUGCAGGGCUGAUGAGAGUAUUUCCAGAACAUCAGGAUGAAGCAUGAACAGACACUCACUUUUAAGCCUCUGCUCUGUGGGGCUUUGAGAACUUCGCCUUACUUCCCGAAGCCACCGAAGAAGGACAAACGUGCGUGGGAUUGCAUACAAAUGUGGGCAAUAUCAAAGCGGAAGUCUGUGAGAGGGUGCUCAGAACGUGCGAGAAUUGGUCGGGCUCUUUAUACCAGUAAUUACGAUAAUAGCUUUCUAUGUCCUAGAGGUUCCGAGGGUUUCGUGGUUCAAACAGGAGAUCCCCUCGGGUCCUGGAAGAGGAAGUGACAUCAUCUUGAGUGGGAGGGCAAACAGUGUCUGAAUCACUGUGUGGCCCCCCAACCAAUGUGUCAGUCCUUCAUGCUAUGGAAAGCAAUGAUAUUUGGAUAUGAAAUACACCAUAUUGGCCAAGGUACUGCUUGUCUCCAGCUUUGAAACACCCAGCAGAGCAACUUAAAGAAGGAAGAACUCAGUUCUGCCCACAGUUUGGAGGUAUGUCCCACCAUGGUGGGGAAGAUGGAGUAACAGUGGCUCGGGCUGUGGCAGCAGGAGCAUCCAGCCAUCACACUGCACCCAGAGUCAGGAAGCAGGGAGAGACAAACGCUGGCUCUCACCUCACUUGACCCUUUCGAUACGGACUAAAUUUGCAUAUUAUUGUCCAGUCAAUUCUGCUGGCCUGCCCUCGGCCCAGCAAUUGCUUGUCACUACCUGCGGCCAACACCAGGUGCACCCUGAUGUGUUCCUGGCUGAUCUCUCUCUCCCCUUUUCUGUCCUUCUCUGUCCCACCGCCCCCUUCUCUGCCCUCAUGGCUUUACUCCCAUUUGUCUGCCUGUCUACCUGGCUCACUUGAUGCCUUUACUCCUCUCCCUUCCCCCAAUAAACCUCCUUUAU
rnacentral:sRNA from 1 species